rnacentral:miRNA from 10 species
AGUGACUAGAAGACAAGGGUGUGAUCCUCCUGUUAUGCCCAGACAGGGCCACCAGAGGGCUCCCUGGUCUAGUGGUAA